GACGUAGGGUCCGAGCGUUGUCCGGAAUUAUUGGGCGUAAAGCGCGCGCAGGCGGUGAGUCGCAUCGGCGGUGAAAGCCCCCCGCUCAACGGGGGAGGGUCCGUCGAGAUGGGCUGACUGGAGGCAGGGAGAGGCUAGUGGAAUUCCGGGUGUAGUGGUGAAAUGCGUAGAGAUCCGGAGGAACACCAGUGGCGAAGGCGGCUAGCUGGACCUGACCUGACGCUGAGGCGCGAAGGCGUGGGGAGCGAACGGG
rnacentral:misc_RNA from 1 species